rnacentral:lncRNA from 1 species
UUGUACUUGUAGCCGCUUUGUUUUUAAUUACUGUCUUGUCAGAUAUUCGGAUUUAUUUCAUUAUCUACUGUCUAGUUAUUUUUACAUUAUUUCUUAUGUUCUUCUCAGUAGGGCCUCAACCUUCCUCGUCACUACUCCAUCGAGGUUAGGCUUGGCACUUACUGAGUACCGCUGUGGUGUACUCAUGCUACUCUUCUGCACACUAUUGUUGUGCAGAUCUAGGUACCCUUGAUCAGGCGCGCUAUUAGGGAUUUGGAGUUGCUUUGGAGGCUUGAGGUAUGCUUCUGCCGCGUCUGCAGAGCCGACGAGCCUUCCUCUAUUCUACAUGUAGAUUAUAGUUUUCUGCCGCAUUCUCAUUUGAUUUAGAUACUUCGGGAUGUUAGAGCACUGUAGUAUGUUCACCCUUAGCCUGUGUUGCCCGUGGGUUUCCGGGUCUUGGAGGUUAUUAUGUUAUAUUGAGUUGACAUGUAUGUGUCAGGCAGCACUUUAUACAUUAUCUUACGUCAUUUAUGUUUUGAAUUAUUGCUUCCGGAAAGACUGUCGAAUUUCCGCAAUGUGUCAGGCUUACCUAGUCGCAAAGACUGGGUGCCGUCAUGAAAGGUUCACGAUUGGUGAACUAGGGUAGUGACACACUUGUUCUCAACAUAAAAAGAAUUUGUAACGUUUUUUAGUAUUGCAGUCCACUUAUUACAAAACCAAAUAGAAAUACACAUACAUCAGUGACUUAAGUGCUUAGCUACAUGAAUCAGGAAAAAAAACUCAAUUAAAAUACAUGUUUCAAUUCUUUAUAUAUUCAUUCUUCAUAGUUUUAGCUCACAAUUAUCAAAGUCAAGUUGUGUACCUGGAAAUUAAUUUACAAUGGAAGAAGCAGAAAGAUCAGCAACGGCAGUAACAAAUGUAAAAGCAAAUCGACAGUUACCAAGAACAAAUAGAGACAAAUUCAAGGGUAAACCACAGUCCAAAUGCCCAAGAAGAAGGCACCAGGAAUAAACAGAGCCAGAUUCGUGGCUAAACCACAGUCCAAAUGCCCAGGAAGAAGGAAACUUAACCAAAACACUGAAUCUACUCAGAAUUAGACUAUGCAUUCAUAGAACACCUUUUACCAAUCAAAUAAUACCCAGCGACACUCGAACAAAUCACCAAAUACCUUCAAAUGCACUAAAACCAAAGUACAGAACAGAAACUGAUAGAUUUGAACUGUUUCUGAUCUUAAAAUCAUAAUAACAGUAAUUGUUCAAUGGAAUAAUAACCUCUCUCAAAAUAUGUUCAAAAACUAAUAGCCUAAAUAACUCUAAAACUCUCAAAAAUUGAUCUCUCAAACUCUAAAUAUGAUGUCUGCCUCUAAACUCUCUCUUUAGGUUUCAAAACUCUAUGUAAAACUAUCAAUAUUUUUUUCCAAUAUUUUCAAGCUCUAUCAAAUUAUCUCUCCCACUCUAAAAUCUCUCAAAAUGCUCCUUUCAAACUGCCACUAAAACUUAUUGCAAUCUCUGAAGCUCUCUUCCCGUGUCUUUCUGUAUCUCUCUAUAUUUAUAUCCAACCCUUAAACCCUUUCCAGCCUCUUCUUUUUUUUUUCUUACAAUUGUACCUCUAGACCUUUUAUUAUUAUCCCCAUAUUUUUUUUUUACUUUUCAGCUUGCAUAUCUUUACUAUGUGUACCCCUUUAACCUUUCAUUAUUAACCUAUAUUUUUUCUGAUUUCUAAUUUAGUAAAAGCACUAGGCCAAACCAACAAUCCCCUUCUUCUUUUGUUAAUUCAAAACGUUAUUUUUACUGGCAACUUCAAUCCUUAAUUAAACCCCAACUACUCACAUUAUCUCCUAUGAGGACUAUUCACAUGUUAAGGCUUCAAAAUAGAUCAGCAGAUUCAAAAGAGAUGCAAAGAUUUUGAUAAUUGAAAAUAAACUAAUCUUGAGUCAAACAUACAAACAUAUAUAAAAUCAUGUAAACCAACAUUCAAACAGAAAUUGCUAACAACUUAUCGUGUUUAACUAAGCAAUGGCUUAAACGAUUAAAACUUAAAGUAAAUUGACAUAAAAUGUUCACAUCUGUUGUUCUCAGCAAAUUGAAACACAAACAGACCAAAACUUCAUAUAAUAAAAGGACCAUCAGAUGAUAAGAAUCGUGUAUUUGAACCCAUGGGAAAGGGAACACAGAAACACUUACCAGAAUCGAACCCUUUAUUCUGUUCCAAAGACCUUCCUACUCUAUUGGUUGACACGGACUCCAAUCGUAUGUUUUUGUUUAAUCGAAAACACACACUUAUAGCUAGGUUUUGGGGAAUUUGGUCUCUGACAGGCAUAGACGAAGGAAGGGGAGGGGUUCUAAGGGGGGUGGGGUAUGUUUGGGAACUUAUAUACCUAUGGCGGAAUUGAAUCACGAUCGUCAGAUCAACUGAGAUCAACGGCCUGGAUCAAUUGGUUUAUGGGAAACGAGGUCGUUUGAUCUCAUUGGAGGACUGGGUCGAUAUGGCGAAAUUGGGUGGGGUUAUGUGGGAAAGCUUUGAGUCGUUAGAUGAGUGAGAUUCAAUGGCU